UUGCUAGUAGUACCUGCUUUGCAGAAGGGGCAACAUCAAUGGCACCUUUAUAUAGAAAGAUGUAAGACUUAGGUAUCAGUUUGGUUUUCAGACCAGUGAAAUUGUCUUGUGAGAACACACUCUUAUAACGCGGUUUAUGUCAAAAAUGGAUAUUAAAACUUUUUUCAUGGAUUCUGCCAAUCGAAAGGCAUUUCUGGAUUUCUUUGAAAACACAACUCAGCAUAAAACUAUUCAAGAUCUAAUCCAUAAUCUCGAAAGCGUCGAAAAUCUCAAAGGUCCUGAAAGACAAUCUAGAAUGGACAAUUUAUUUCAAAGGCUUGGUGAAUACUACGUAGAGUACCAGGCAAAAAAGACUGACGUGACGACAAAUACAACACAAGAAGGCGUGGCACAAAAAAAUUGCACCACACUAUGAAAAACCUGUUAUAAAUUUAGCAUCUUUCUUCAAGUCAAACCAAUGAAGUUUUUCUCCAUAGCAUGUACCAAAAUGUAUAAAAAUCCAUUUCUUUUCAUGGGAUGAAAAGAAUCACUACAGUUUUUGAUUAUUAUUUUUUCUUAACUAUGUGUACUAAUGCUGUUAAUACAAAUCUGUAUCUAUAAUUUUGUACAUUUUACGUAAAUUCAUUCAUAUUUGUUACAAAUGGCAUCCUAUACGACAGGCAACAUUAAAUUAUAUUCAUCUUUUCUACUCGACAGAUUUGGUUUGUACGUAUUCGUUAAUAAUAAUAUAUUCCCAUAAUUUAU